rnacentral:ncRNA from 1 species
UCUCUUCAGGGCGGGGUGCAAAUCCCCACCGGCGGUAAAGCCCGCGAACCAUAAUGGUAGAUCCGGUGAAAUUCCGGGGCCGACGGUUACAGUCCGGAUGAAAGAAGAG